GUGUGGAAGGAGGGGGUGAUUCCCAGCAGGAGGAUCUGGGAACCAGGGCUUUCUGCCCACUUUGAAAUUGGGUUGUUUGUCUUUUUUGUUGGUGAAUUUCAAGAGCUCGUUAGAUAUAUUCAUAUAUUCAUAUGGUUUCCAGAUAUUUUCUCCCAUUCUGUAGGUUGUCGUUUCACUUUUUUGAUAAUGUUCUUUGAUGCACAAAUCGUUUUCAUUUUGUUAAAGCCCAACUUAACUCUUUUUUCUUUUAUUGCUUACUUUUUGAUGUCAUAUCUAAGAAUCUACGGCCAAAAACAAGGUCCUGAAGGUUUACCUGGAGCCUUGGUGGCGCAGCGGUUAACAGCUCGACUGCUAACCAAAAGGGUUAAUAGUGACACAGUAGAGAGAUAAAGACAACAUUUAAUGAAAGGAAGAACAUAAUCCUUUGAAAGAGAAGACUUCCCCACACCGUUGCUGGUAAAAUAAAGCCUGCAAUAUGCAGAUGACACAACCUUGCUUGCUGAAAGUGAAGAGAACUUGAAGC